UGACACCACCCCAGGAAGGAGGCUUGC
rnacentral:piRNA from 1 species